CAAAGUGUAGCUUAAUCCAAAGCAACCGGCUUACACCCGGAAGAUUUCAUAAAUGACCACUUUGA
rnacentral:tRNA from 1 species